CCAGGACUGGCAGAACACUGAAGCAGCAGGCACCUGCUUCCUUCUGUUGUCUGUGCAG
ensembl:miRNA MIR6868 microRNA 6868